UCGAACGCGAAAACCCCGCAAGGGGUUAGUAGAGUGGCGAACGGGUGAGUAACACGUGGGUGACCUACCUUCGAAUGGGGGAUAACGUCCCGAAAGGGACGCUAAUACCGCAUAACAUCCUGCUUUUGAACAGGUGGAGAUCAAAGCCGGGGAUCGCAAGACCUGGCGUUUGAAGAGGGGCCCGCGUCUGAUUAGCUAGUUGGUGAGGUAACGGCUCACCAAGGCGACGAUCAGUAUCCGGCCUGAGAGGGCGGACGGACACACUGGGACUGAGACACGGCCCAGACUCCUACGGGAGGCAGCAGUGGGGAAUUGUUCGCAAUGGGCGCAAGCCUGACGACGCAACGCCGCGUGGAGGAUGAAGGUCUUCGGAUUGUAAACUCCUGUUGCUCGGGACGAAAUGCUUCGACCUAACACGUCGAAGUUUGACGGUACCGGGUGAGGAAGCCCCGGCUAACUCUGUGCCAGCAGCCGCGGUAAUACAGAGGGGGCAAGCGUUGUUCGGAAUUACUGGGCGUAAAGGGCGCGUAGGCGGCCUUCUAAGUCGAACGUGAAAUCCCCGGGCUCAACCCGGGAACUGCGUCCGAUACUGGAAGGCUUGAAUCCGGGAGAGGGAUGCGGAAUUCCAGGUGUANCGGUGAAAUGCGUANAUAUCUGGAGGAACACCGGUGGCGAAGGCGGCAUCCUGGACCGGCAUUGACGCUGAGGCGCGAAAGCCAGGGGAGCAAACGGGAUUAGAUACCCCGGUAGUCCUGGCCCUAAACGAUGAAUGCUUGGUGUGGCGGGUAUCGAUCCCUGCCGUGC
rnacentral:rRNA from 1 species